UAAACUGUGCAUGAUAUAGAAACAUAUGUU
rnacentral:piRNA from 1 species